UAUAGACAAAUUAUAUGACAGCUAUAGAACUAAUUACUUUUUAUUAUUAUUUUAGGAUUGUGUUUGUAAAAAUCAGUGCAAAUUAAUUAUUUAUUAAGAAAAUGUAUAGUGUUAUAACAUAAUUUUAUUUCUAUUAACGUGAACCAAGGGAUUCUAUUGAGUAAACUUUACAGUAUAAACUAGACAAAAAAACCUUGAUAACUUUAAAAAAUAAUGUGUCUUGUUUUAUGUAUAAGUAGACUAAGGUAGCACAGGUUGAAAACCUUAGUGGUUUUUUGUUCCUAUUAUUAGUUAAGCUGUGUAUUUUGAAUUGUAUAAAUGAUAAUAAAAGAAAAAAUAUAUACUUAAUUCAUUAAUAAAAUUGAGUACCUACCACGAUUCUUUUUGAAGUUUUACAAUGAAUGGAAGUUAGUUCUAGUUGACAAACCACAGAUGGCACUUGUAGUACAAUAUCAUACCUAUUGACACCAAGUUUUUUGGAACAAAGUUCCUUAUGGGGCGAUGCGGAGGGGUACCCUAGCCGGUAAAAAGCGUCCGUAACACUAAAAAUAUGCGUAACAUUUUUAUGUAUAGUCUAUGUAUGAUGGCUAUACAGUGUCUAAUGUAUAUGAUGAUUGUUGUUAUUAUUGCGGUUUGCUAUCAUUAUUACAUCGUUUGAUAAUUCAUGUCUAUGUUUAUUUUAUCAGGAUG
rnacentral:misc_RNA from 1 species